UACGUAGGGGGGCAAGCGUUGUCCGGAUUUAUUGGGCGUAAAGAGCGUGUAGGCGGCCAGACAGGUCUGCUGUGAAAACUCGAGGCUCAACCUCGAGACGCCGGUGGAAACCGUUUGGCUAGAGUCCGGAAGAGGAGAGUGGAAUUCCCGGUGUAGCGGUGAAAUGCGCAGAUAUCGGGAAGAACACCCAAGGCGAAGGCAGCCUUCUGGGCCUCAUCUGACGCUGUGGCGCGAAAGCGUGGGGAGCGAACGGG
rnacentral:rRNA from 1 species